rnacentral:misc_RNA from 1 species
AGGGCAGCCGAUAACGACGAUGAAUGGUGGCUUAGAGGCUGGAAGAGGUUUCGCGAGUGGUCGGAAAUCGUCGCUGGCCCUAAAUGGAAGACUUUCAUUCGUCAAUUCAAUAAGAAUCGCAAUCGUCAAUCCACUUUCCGUUACGAUCCUCUAAGUUACUCUCUUAAUUUCGACGAAGGUCCAGCCCACGACGAUCCUUUCAGCGACGAUUUUGUACGCCGUGAUUUCUCCACUCGAUUCGCCGCCCUUCCGUCCUCCGCCAAAUCGUCUAUGGACCUCGAUAAGGACGAUCCGUCCUUCAUUUGACUCCGGAGCCGCCGCGGAAUAGACGGAUGCAGAAUUGUGUGGCUCUGGAUUCUCAGUGUGCUCGGUUGCCUCUCGCCGGAGCCUCCCUACGCGGUGGUUGUCGGAAGUGACCCCGGCCGAGGAGGAGCGGAGGGAGAUUAGCGUUUCGGGGACGAUGGAAAACUGUGAAUCUGAAU